UGGAUUUGGGUUCAUCACCA
rnacentral:siRNA from 1 species